UACAGAGGUCCCGAGCGUUGUUCGGAUUCACUGGGCGUAAAGGGUGCGUAGGUGGCAUGGCAAGUUUGAUGUGAAAGCUCAGGGCUCAACCCUGAAAUGGCAUUGAAUACUGCUGUGCUGGAGGUUUGGAGGGGGGACUGGAAUUCUCGGUGUAGCAGUGAAAUGCGUAGAUAUCAGGAGGAACACCGGUGGCGAAGGCGGGUCUCUGGGCCGAUACUGACGCUGAGGAGCGAAAGCGUGGGUAGCAAACAGG
rnacentral:rRNA from 1 species